AGUUCGGGGGGUCAACGUCCGCCGACGCGUCGCGUCCGCGGGCGCGAUUUGC
rnacentral:sRNA from 1 species